rnacentral:tRNA from 1 species
ACCUGACUGGCUCAGUUGGUGGAGCAUGUGACUCUUGAUCUCAGGGUUGUGAGUUCAAGCCCCACAUUGGGUG